AAAGUGUUGUGCUUAUCCUUCCACCGCCAAACUCUUAUCUUUCCAGCGUCAACCUACCUUUCCAUACCUCGCUGGCGGCUGAUUGUCUUGCCUGUUUUUUUUUGUCGUCGAUGGCGAACCCUCCUUUCCCCUCCAUCUAAUUGUUAUUAUUUUAAGUUAUUAAUUCACAGUAAGUGGCAUUAUAGGUUUGGUCAACCUAUCUAGUGUUGUGGGUGGUGGCAUUCACUACAGCUAGCGUUGUAUAGGUUUAUUGCUUUUGGGUAUGUUUGUUGUUGUUGGGUAAAUUUGAUUUUUGUGUUCAGUAAGGGGAACAACCACUCGAAUUGUUCACUCAAGCUGAGAGAAGGUGCCGAAGCCUAUCCUUGCAAUUAUCAAGGUUGUGUACAAGCAACCGUUCUCCAUAAUGGUGAAAAAUCCAGGGAAGUAGAGACCUCUAUUCCUUCGAUUCCUCCUUUCUUUGUGGCUCGAAGCACCAUGCGAUUUCCUCUCAAAAGGUCUUGUGUGCUUCUUCUCGGUCAUCCACAGUUGAUGCAGCUGCAAAUCGGGUUUCAAAAGAGUUGGUCAAGGUCUUGUUAGUUCAAGUAAGUCUUCCAACAAGAGCUGCUUCUCAAGGGUUUAUAGGCAAUAUUCAAAACUCAAGGCUUAAGCUUUCGUCUCGCGUGUAUUGUAAAUGGACUAUUACUAAUUCUCACCUUUGGGAAUCAGGUAAGUAUGUUGUGACAGGGUUUUUUCAAGUUAUUACAAGAGGGAUCGUGUGGGCACAAAGCGACAUCAAGCUUCAUCUCUUGAUCUAGAGUCCAACAAGUUUGCUUGUGAGAAGCAUGCUUGCAUGGUCCUUCUUGGGGUUUUGUUAAUUAAUGUAGUGAAUUGUCGUGUGUGUGGUGUAAUGUUAUCUCCCAAAGACUCAAUUAUAUCCCACAACUCAUCCUUCUCAUUA